UUGAUUUGUGCCGUCCGUUUUCUCUGCCGAAGUCGUGGUUGCGUGGACGCGGCUAUGGUCGAAGGGUCUCACCAGCGUGGCACCGGCGCCUCCCUUCCCUCUCCCCUGGAGCUGGAAGGUACUGUCUCGGGCUUCCCAAAUCUGUUGGAUCAAAAAUUGCGGGUGAUGGAAUCAAAUUUUGUUGGAUCAGAAAUUGCAGUUGAUGGAAUUAAAACUUGGAUGUGAUCAAAUUAGGUAUUGCUUGAGCUGAAAGUUGAAUGUUUGUCGACUUGAUUUGUAGUUCAACACGUCAAAAUUGUGGUGGAUCGGGUGGUAUAGUUUACUUAUUUGAAAAUGUUGUUGAAUUUUCAGAGAGGACCAUGGCGUACUGAUUACUGAAAGGAAUUUGUGAGUUCCUGCAAGAUGCAUCUCUAGCAUUUCUUGUGCAGGUCAGUUCCUACUCAUAUUUCCCCCUUGCAUAGUAAUCGACUUAUUUUAGGAACUUUAAUAUCAUCAUUGAAAUAUAACCAACUUUGCAGUGUGUCGAAACAUAACCAACUUCUUUCUCAGGAUUCUUUGCUAGCAAUUAAAAUAUCCUGAGCAAUCUGGAAAAGAGAUAGCUUAAAUAAAUGGAUAUGUAAUUAACUCCAUACAUUAUUUGGAGGAAGAGUUCAAUACAUGCAUGUUUUCUCAAAUUAGGUUGCCCCUGUUGUGUAUAUAAAUGUGAUGCUUCCUUCCAUGACUAAACAGGCUGAUGAGACGUUGUGGUUCCUUUUCUUUUUAAAUUUCAGAGGCUUACAAACUUGUGAUUCCUCAUGACUCGGAAGGAGGAGCGCGGGCCAUAGCUACGGAAGAGGAGGUUGAGACAGCCGGCGCCUGCGCGGCUCAUUCAUCUUAAUUUAAUAUAUGCCAGUGGAGAAAUAUAUACUUUAAACCCGGUAGGGUCAAGGAUGUGUGAGAUUCGAGGUUUAGAGGAUAGCUCAAAGAUCGGUUACAUCAAACUAACAACGUUUAACCAAAAUGAUGCAGGUUUGAGCUGGCUCUGGCUCUAAAGUGUACUUUAUUUCUGAAGCAUUUAUCAUUUUGGAGAUGUCAAGUUCUACUGGCCAUUCCACUUAAUUAUCCUAUCCCAGGAUCCGUGAAGGAGGCCAUUAACAAAUUAAGGGAGAACAAUGUAAAGGCCUUUGU
rnacentral:lncRNA from 1 species